rnacentral:rRNA from 1 species
GACGAACGCUGGCGGCGUGCUUAACACAUGCAAGUCGAACGGUAAGGCCCUUCGGGGUACACGAGUGGCGAACGGGUGAGUAACACGUGGGUGAUCUGCCCUGCACUCUGGGAUAAGCCUGGGAAACUGGGUCUAAUACCGGAUAUGAGCUCCUGUCGCAUGGCGGGGGUUGGAAAGGUUUACUGGUGCAGGAUGGGCCCGCGGCCUAUCAGCUUGUUGGGGGGGUAAUGGCCUACCAAGGCGACGACGGGUAGCCGGCCUGAGAGGGCGACCGGCCACACUGGGACUGAGACACGGCCCAGACUCCUACGGGAGGCAGGAGUGGGGAAUAUUGCACAAUGGGCGAAAGCCUGAUGCAGCGACGCCGCGUGAGGGAUGACGGCCUUCGGGUUGUAAACCUCUUUCAGCAGGGACGAAGCGAGAGUGACGGUACCUGCAGAAGAAGCACCGGCCAACUACGUGCCAGCCGCCGCCGUAA